rnacentral:sRNA from 1 species
CUCAAAGCUUUGAUAGUGAAGCCGAAUUCUUAUGAGUUUUUUUAU